ensembl:lncRNA
GUUUUAGUCUCUUUUGUGACAAAGGUCCUGAACUCAUUGAAUUGUUUCUCUAUUUUCUUUUACCUCAUUGAGUUUUUUGAUGAUAGCUAUUCUGAAUUCAUUGUCAUUUAGUUUACUUAUUUCUGAGUCCUCAGGUCAUAACUCUGGGUAUUUAUUCUUUUCCCUCUGGUCUGGAGAUUUGAUGAAUUGUUUGAUGCUGGAACUAUGGAUUUUCCCCAUUGUGAUAUUAUUUGGUUUCAGUUACUGCCUAUUGCCAAUGGAUGGGGGUCGAGAGCCAAGUAUUCUGUGCCCUCUGACCUUGGCCAAGAUGGCGUGUCACAGCGUGUGUUGGGGAGGCGCUUUCUCUUGCGUGAAGUCCCGGGUUUCCUGAUCAGCUCUCGCUAUCUGGUCUCCUGGGGUCUUGGCUUGAUGAGGUCACCCCAUGUGAAAGCUUUUGCCCCGUUAGACGGCUUCCCUCUAGGCUGCGAGGGUGCUAGGGAGUCCUGGGUGAUCCUGCUGAUGCACGACCCCUCCCCUACUCCUUUCUUCAUGGAGCCUCCCACGGCAGUGACCCCACUCUUUAGGGGAGGGAGCGAAGUUCUCUCUUACCCUGUUCCAGCUCCUCUCAGGGCCGCUCCAGCCUCUCUGCCCUCCAUUGUUUGACUGCUGUGGGUCUCCGAGGAUUCUUGUGGUAUUAGGAUAUUUUCUGUUGGAAUAUGGUUGCUCCUUUUUGUUGUAUGUUGGAGGGAAGGGAGUCCUGGCCAAGCUCACCCCACCAUGAUGCUGACAUCACCCCUCUUCCUAUUUCUUUUUAAUUCUUAAUUCUUUUUUCUUUUUUCUGUUCAGCCAGGGUGGUUUCCUCUACUCUUUAAUCCAGAUAACUGAUCUGUUCUUCUGUGUCAUCUGUUGUGUUGUUGAUUCUCUCUAGUGAAUUUUUCAUUUCUGUUAUUGUAUUCUUCAGUUCUGAUUGGUUGUUUCUUAUAUUUGCCUAUUCUUUGUUGAAGUCCUCACCGUGUUCAUCUAUUCUGCUAAGAUCAGUGAGUAUCUUUAUGACAAUUAGUUUAUACUCUUUAUUAGGUCGAUUGUUUAUCUCUGUUUCAUUUAGCUCUUUUUCUGAAGAUUUGUCCUGUUCCCUUAUUUGGAAGAUAUUUCUUUGUCUCCUCAUUUUGCCUACUUCUCUGUGCUUAUAUCUAUGUAUCAGGUGAAGCAGCUAUGUGCCCUGAUCCUGGAAAUGUGGCCUUCUGUAAGAGAUACAUUAUGGGGCCCUGCAAUGUGCUCCUCUCUCUUCACCCAUUCCAAAUGUUCCAGGAUUGUCCCCUGUGUUGACUACGUGUGCCUUUCCAUUGUAUUGGGGUAGCUCUUGCUGCAGGUGCAUGGGUAAGCUAGGCAGGCCCCCAGGCCAGCUGGUUGUAAUGUUCAGCUUUGUGCAGCUGCUGUGGUCACUUUAGUCACUUUAUGGUGGGCCACCCCCUGCAUGGCUGUCUGCAGGGUCUAAUAGCACAUUCCUAUUACUGUUUUGCUGUUAAGUGAGGCCACCAGCAAGGCUAGUUGCUAGGCUGAGUGGCUCAAAAUUGCUAUAGGUCUCCAGCCUGCAAGCCUUUUGUCAGAUCUCUCAGGAGCACAGAUGUGUGGAGCCAGACCCAGGCAUGGCAGCACACAUUCAUUUUAGGUGUUGGAGGGUGAGGCAGAUCCCCUGUGUGGUUGUUGGAGAUGGCCAGUAGCACAAGUCUGCUGUGGCUGAAAGGUCCCACCACCUGAGGGCUCACACACCUUGCCAACAAAGGCUCACCCCUUGUGUAUGCCCUGCUGGGCCCACUUGCCCUGCUUCAGAGGUGCUACAAAGCCAUGUAUGCAGGCCUCCAAGUUCCCUGCUGGCUUGCUGGUGGGUGGGGCCAGACUGUAAGGCGGACUGCCUGCCCUGGCUCCACUGGAUUAAAUUGGUGUUCUAGUGGGCAGGGCAAACCCCUGGGUUAACAUGCUGGAGGAAGAAAUCCAACAGUAUCUUCCAGUUUCUAUGUCAGCAUGACAGUAAUGGCUGCCGCCAGUGUCUCAGUCCUUGCCGAGGUGGGCCCAGCCACCUCCUGCCUCUCUGACAUGCGUUCAGAGCUAAGCAAGUAAGUCUUAUGCCAAUGGACUAUGCACUUUUCUUUCUGGUGUUUUCUGGAAUGGGUGAAUCUGUGCAUAGGCCCUUUAAGAGCCAAUUUCUUUCUGUGAAAUUUGAUGGUUUUUUUUUCGCUGAAGUUUGAUAGUUUUUCUGGUGGUAUUCCUUAUUGGCUUUCAAAGACAGCAAAGCCAGGUAUUAUGGGAUCUCAUCUUGAUUGAACUGAACUCAAAGGCUGGGAUGUCUACUGUGGCACAGAUCCCCUGCCCCAAUCCCCAUUCCUCUGAGAAAAGCUUGGUACCUUUAAGAUUGCUCCUGGCCAUGAAGCAAUGGGUCUAGGAUGUGGUUUUUCCUCAGCAGAGGUGUAUUUCUGCCUCUUCCACCUCUGUCAGUGUUGUCCCUUGUUGUGGGGGUUCUUCUUAUCCAGUUUCCAGAUCUCUCUCAGAGGUGAUUGUUCCACAGGUAGUUGUGGGUUUGUUGUGUCCGUGGGAGGAGGUGAGUUCAGUGCUCCUACACUGCCAUCUUCCAAACUCCCUCCCAAUCCUAUUUUUAAAAAUUCUGUCCGAACUGGUUACAUUCGUUGGUGAGAAGACUCUGAUCUCCAUCAAUAGACCCCUUUUUGUUGAAACAAACAAACAAGCACCAGAGAAUAGAAGUCCAACAACAACAAAAAUUCAAUCUAGAGAAGGUGAUUGAUUUAUCCCAAACCCCAAAUAAAAACAGGUAGUAGUAAGAUACACAAUUAAUGGUCUGUAGUGACAUCCUUGCAUAUAAAGGAAAGCACUUAAAGUAGGUCUCUAGUUUAAUUUACAAGAUGUGGCCAUGAAAUAAGAAGACUGUGUGAAGGAGAGAGGUUUAAUAGUUGGCUGUUAAGAGAGGUUUAGGAGGAAAGUUCUAAAAACAUUUUGAGGGAUAGACAAAUAGGAGAAAAGAUAUUUAAUCUGUUAAAAUUUGCAUUCUCUUUUAUAUUAAUUUAUGUUUAUUUGAAAAACCCCAAUAAUCUACUGCAUUUUUGUCUCUCAUAUAGCCAGGCUGCCAGCUGAGCUACAGUGAUGUCGACAGAGGCAGCUCCCACACAGCAUUUUUCAUAGAGAAGAGCAUUAGUUAAUUGAUACAGAAAAAAAGAUCUUCUGUGGGGACUACACGGUGGGGCUGUGGCAGGGCCUUUACCUGAUGGAGAAAAGAUGAUCUAGAGUAAGGCCAGAAACUAAGGUUAUCAACUUCUUUUUUAAAGAUUUUAUUUUUCCUUUUUCUCCCAAAGCCCCCUGGUAAGUAGUUGUAUAUUUUCAGUUGUGGAUCCUUCCAGUUGUAGCAUGUGGGACGCCGCCUCAGCAUGGCCUGAUGAGUGGUGGCAUGUUUGCGCCCAGGAUUCGAACCCGCAAAACCCUGGGCCACCAAAGCGGAGUGCAUGAACUUAACCAUUUGGCCACGGGGCCAGCCCCUGGUUAUUAACUUCUUAAAAGAACUGUGUGCCAGCAGUGCUUGUAAGCUUAGUGUCGUAUAGAAUAGUAUUUCUGCCCUAAAAAUCCCUCGUGCUCCAUAUACCUACUCCUCCUCCCUCUUCCCAACCCCUGGGAUCUAUUUACUGUCUCUGUAGUUUGGCCUUUUCCAGAACGUCACAGAGUUGAAAUCAUACAGUAUGUAGCCCUUUUGGAUUGGCCUCUUUCCUUUAGUGAUACGUGUCUAAGCUUCCUCCAUGGCUUUUCAUGGCUGCACGCUCACUUCUUUCUGUUGCUGAAUGCUAGUCCAUUGUAUGGAUGUGUUGUAGUUUAUCCAUUCAGCUAGUCAAGGACAUCAUGGUUGCUUCCAGGUUUUGGCACUUAUGAAUAAAGCUGUUAUAAACAUCUGUGUGCAUGUUUUUGUGUGGACAUCAGUUUUCAACUCAUUUGGGUAAAUACCUGGGAUCACGAUUGUUGGAUCAUAUGGUAACAGUAUGUUUAGUUUUGUGAGAAGUCACUGACAUGCCUUCUGAAGCAGCUGUACAUUUUGCAUUUCCAGCAGCAAUGGCUGAAAGUUCCUGUUUCUCCACAUCCUUGCGAGCAUUUGGUUUGGCAAGGCCCUUGAGGCUUGGAGGUGGUGAGCAAUUUGCUUACGGACACAGAUGACACCAUUAAACACCAGGGGAAGGAUCUGAACCUAGGUACUAUCUUCUCAAGUUCCUAAAUUUUUCUGAAGGUUUAAGUAAUACACAAGUUGGCAAAAUGCCUGGAGCAUGGUGGUAUUCCGUUAAUGUUGAUUUGCUUCCUUUCUUUUCCCCUUAGACUGUGGGGAGGAGAGAGGUCUCCUUCAUGUGUAUUUUUCUCUCCCCACUGUUUUGCACUUAAACAUGUAAGAUCAGUUUGUUACUGAGAAUUAUCCUACAGUGGGCUUAUUUUAAUAGUGUACAAUUUCCAGUCAACAAGAACUGAAAACUUUUUCUAGCCUAAAACUAAAACAAUAAAAAAAGAAAACCCCCAAUACACCCAAGGGUAGCACUGAUGAAUAACAAGUCAGAGAUAACACUGUCAUGGAGUUUUGGGUUGAUGAUGCCUUUGAGUGCAUACAAACUAGAGGUGAAGCUAUGAAUGGGCCAUGAAUGGUCCCUAUGAUGGAUACAUUUUCAUGUAAAGGGCUCCAAAUUUAGGUCCUUGGCUCCAUAUUGUUACUCAGUACUGCUCCAGAGUCAGCCUAGGGGCUUGCCAGCCUCCACAGCUCUGCUUCUGGAGAUAACUGAAGCUGGGAGAUCAUUCAGGUCUACCCUGAGAAUCCUUGGUUUUUGCCCAGAGUAGCCACUUUUCACAGCAAAGAUAUAAAUACAAUGGAAAUUAUUUUAAAAUAAGUAACAUAGUCUUACUUUCAGGUCCUGGAGAACGUGUAAAGUAAGGAAGUACAAGAGA